AAGAGUUGCAAAACUCCCACAACCAUCGUGAACGUUACCCGUAACCGUUGCCUCGGCGGCGUCGGCCCUCCGGGGUCGCUCGCCGGCGGUACCCAAAACCAUGUUUUUGUAGGCCUCUCUGAGUAACUUAUCAAAUAAGUCA
rnacentral:misc_RNA from 1 species